CCUACGGGGGACAGCAGUGAGGAAUCUUGGUCAAUGGACGCAAGUCUGAACCAGCCAUGCCGCGUGCAGGAAGACGGCUCUAUGAGUUGUAAACUGCUUUUGUACGAGGGUAAACGCAGAUACGCGUAUCUGUCUGAAAGUAUCGUACGAAUAAGGAUCGGCUAACUCCGGGCCAGCAGCCGCGGUAAUACGGAGGAUUCAAGCGUUAUCCGGAUUCAUUGGGUUUAAAGGGUGCGUAGGCGGUCGGAUAAGUUAGAGGUGAAAUCCCGAGGCUCAACUUCGGAAUUGCCUCUGAUACGGUUCGGCUAGAGAAUAGUUGCGGUAGGCGGAAUGUAUGGUGUAGCAGUGAAAUGCUUAGAGAUCGUACAGAACACCGAUUGCGAAGGCAGCUUCCCGAGCUACUUCUGACGUUGAGGCACGAAGGCGUGGGGAGCAAACAGGAUUAGAUACCCUUGUAGUC
rnacentral:rRNA from 1 species